CACAGAGCUGAGCCAAGGGAUUUAAAGGGACCAACCAAGGGAGGUGAAGAAAGAAGGAAGAAGGGAAGUGAGGCAGUAGACAAGCACCACUAAGUUACACUGUAAACAGGUGAGUUCUCUUGAAAUUCCUAAGGCGGGCACUGAGGACUUUGAGGGCUCCAGACAGAGCAGACCUGCGAAGGGCCUCGGUGAAGCCCCUUGGAAACCUUCUAAGGGUUUUUCCAAGUGCUGCCCAGCACGGGGAUCCGUGUGCUGGGACAGUGAUUGGCAGGAGGAAGGGGAGCCUUGGCCUCACCUGCCCAGCUCAGGCCAGGCCAAAGCCCUGACUGCAGC